CUUCAGGUACAUUUUGAGGACUCUGAUAUGAUGGCAUCCCCACCUGCAUAGUAUAAGAGUAUCCCAAAGACCCUCUCUUCCUCCUGAAACAAGUAUGAUGAAGCUGUAACUCCAAGGAGAUGGGUUCAAAGAAGGAUUGAUCCACUUAAAGAUCCGAGCCUCCUAUGCUUAUUUCUUCAUUCAUUUUUGUUGUUGUUGUUGUUGUUCAUUUCAAGGUGAGGGGAAUACCUGUAGCUGCCAAAAAGAAUUCACACUGGAAGGAGUCCCUCCAGAGAGAUGGGUAAAUGUUUGGGAUACUCCAUCAUACCUCAAAAUAAAUCCAACAGAUGGUG